AUUGAACGCUGGCGGCAGGCCUAACACAUGCAGGUCGAACGGUAACAGGAAGAAGCUUGCUUCUUUGCUGACGAGUGGCGGACGGGUGAGUAAUGUCUGGGAAACUGCCUGAUGGAGGGGGAUAACUACUGGAAACGGUAGCUAAUACCGCAUAACGUCGCAAGACCAAAGAGGGGGACCUUCGGGCCUCCUGCCAUCGGAUGUGCCCAGAUGGGAUUAGCUAGUAGGUGGGGUAACGGCUCACCUAGGCGACGAUCCCUAGCUGGUCUGAGAGGAUGACCAGCCACACUGGAACUGAGACACGGUCCAGACUCCUACGGGAGGCAGCAGUGGGGAAUAUUGCACAAUGGGCGCAAGCCUGAUGCAGCCAUGCCGCGUGUAUGAAGAAGGCCUUCGGGUUGUAAAGUACUUUCAGCGGGGAGGAAGGGAGUAAAGUUAAUACCUUUGCUCAUUGACGUUACCCGCAGAAGAAGCACCGGCUAACUCCGUG
rnacentral:rRNA from 1 species